UACGUAGGGGCCCAGCGUUGUCCGGAUUCAUUGGGCGUAAAGCGCGCGCAGGCGGCCCGGUGUGCCGCCCGUGAAAUCCCCCGGCUCAACCGGGGGGGGUCGGGCGAGACUGGCGGGCUGGAGGCGGGUAGGGGGCAGCGGAAUUCCCGGUGUAGUGGUGGAAUGCGUAGAUAUCGGGAGGAACACCAGUGGCGAAGGCGGUUGCCUGGACCCGGCCUGACGCUGAGACGCGAAAGCGUGGGGAGCGAUCCGG
rnacentral:rRNA from 1 species